UACGGGGGGGGCAAGCGUUGUUCGGAAUUACUGGGCGUAAAGGGCUCGUAGGUGGCCAACUAAGUCAGACGUGAAAUCCCUCAGCUUAACUGGGGAACUGCGUCUGAUACUGGUUGGCUUGAGUGCAGGAGAGGAAUGCGGAAUUCCAGGUGUAGCGGUGAAAUGCGUAGAUAUCUGGAGGAACACCGGUGGCGAAGGCGGCAUUCUGGACUGCAACUGACACUGAUGGACGAAAGCCAGGGGAGCAAACGGG
rnacentral:rRNA from 1 species